ACCUUUUUACAGUUUUCAGUUGGCAGAUCGGAGGACUGUAGAUGUAUCAACGGUGAUCCUUAGGUCGCUGGUUCAAAUCCGGCUCAAGGGAUU